AGCAAUUUUAGUGAAUUUGAAUUCUUUAAAAAUUUGGGUGUUACAUAAGCUGGACUAAGCAACUGCAAGAUCAAGUUAUUAUACUCACACUACUCAAGUGAUGUGGUGUAUGAUAACCAAGCAAAGGAUCCAUAACAAUAAAAACCUAGGUUCUGAUAAUGCAAUAAGGUGACCGCAUGCAACCCAUUGUGAAACCUAGUAACAAUUUCAUCUUAAACAGUUGGACACAAACAUGCUUAUUGGAUUGCCUUGUUUUUCUUUGGCUCAAACUUGACUUCCU
rnacentral:lncRNA from 1 species